CACUCCUGCGGGAGGCAGCAGUGGGGAAUAUUGCACAAUGGGCGCAAGCCUGAUGCAGCCAUGCCGCGUGUAUGAAGAAGGCCUUCGGGUUGUAAAGUACUUUCAGCGGGGAGGAAGGCAAUACGGUUAAUAACCGUGUUGAUUGACGUUACCCGCAGAAGAAGCACCGGCUAACUCCGUGCCAGCAGCCGCGGUAAUACGGAGGGUGCAAGCGUUAAUCGGAAUUACUGGGCGUAAAGCGCACGCAGGCGGUCUGUCAAGUCGGAUGUGAAAUCCCCGGGCUCAACCUGGGAACUGCAUUCGAAACUGGCAGGCUUGAGUCUUGUAGAGGGGGGUAGAAUUCCAGGUGGAGCGGUGAAAUGCGUAGAGAUCUGGAGGAAUACCGGUGGCGAAGGCGGCCCCCUGGACAAAGACUGACGCUCAGGUGCGAAAGCGUGGGGAGCAAACAGGAUUAGAAACCCCUGUAGUCCC
rnacentral:rRNA from 1 species